AUACACACACAAUAGACCUUCUUGCCAGAUCAGCACAUAGGCCACAGACAUGAUUUUCUUCCCCAGAUUUCCAACCGGAUGUUUCUGUUUGCAGUGUUGGGGAGUCCUGGAAAGAGUAUGACAAUUUAGUAUCCCCUUGUGAUGGAGGGCAGAGGCUCAGAAGUGCCAGAUUCUGAAGUCUUACCUUCAACACCUCUCUCUCCUAUGUAAGUAGGCCCCACUCGGGGGUCUCUUCUGAACAAACAAGU
rnacentral:lncRNA from 1 species